UUGACCUCGGAUCAGGUAGGGAUACCCGCUGAACUUAAGCAUAUCAAUAAGCGGAGGAAAAGAAACCAACAGGGAUUGCCUCAGUAACGGCGAGUGAAGCGGCAACAGCUCAAAUUUGAAAUCUGGCCUCCUCCGGGGGUCCGAGUUGUAAUUUGCAGAGGGUGCUUUGGUGGUGGCGGCGGUCUAAGUUCCCUGGAACAGGACAUCGCAGAGGGUGAGAAUCCCGUACGUGGGCGCCUGCCACCUCCGUGUAAAGCCCCUUCGACGAGUCGAGUUGUUUGGGAAUGCAGCUCUAAAUGGGAGGUAAAUUUCUUCUAAAGCUAAAUACCGGCCAGAGACCGAUAGCGCACAAGUAGAGUGAUCGAAAGAUGAAAAGUACUUUGGAAAGAGAGUAAAAUAGCACGUGAAAUUGUUGUAGAGGAAGCGCUUGCAGCCAGACUUCCCCGUAGUUGCUCACCCGGGCUCUUGCCCGGGGCACUCUUCUGCGGGGAGGCCAGCAUCAGUUUGGGCGGUCGGAGAAAGGCCUCUGUCACGUAUCUCCCUCCGGGGAGACCUUAUAGGGGAGGCGUAAUGCGACCAGCCC
rnacentral:rRNA from 1 species